rnacentral:rRNA from 1 species
UACGUAGGGGGCAAGCGUUGUCCGGAUUUAUUGGGCGUAAAGAGCGUGUAGGCGGCCAUACAGGUCCGUUGUGAAAGUCAGAGGCUCAACCUCUGGAGGCCAAUGGAUACUGCCGGGCUAGAGUCCGGAAGAGGCGAGUGGAAUUCCUGGUGUAGCGGUGGAAUGCGCAGAUAUCAGGAGGAACACCAAUGGCGAAGGCAGCUCGCUGGGACGGUACUGACGCUGAGGUGCGAAAGCGUGGGGAGCGAACAGG